ACCCGCACAAGCGGUGGAUGAUGUGGAUUAAUUCGAUGCAACGCGAAAAACCUUACCUACCCUUGACAUGCCAGGAACUUUCCAGAGAUGGAUUGGUGCCCGAAAGGGAGCCUGGACACAGGUGCUGCAUGGCUGUCGUCAGCUCGUGUCGUGAGAUGUUGGGUUAAGUCCCGCAACGAGCGCAACCCUUGUCAUUAAUUGCCAUCAUUCAGUUGGGCACUUUAAUGAGACUGCCGGUGACAAACCGGAGGAAGGUGGGGAUGACGUCAAGUCCUCAUGGCCCUUAUGGGUAGGGCUUCACACGUCAUACAAUGGUCGGUACAGAGGGUUGCCAAGCCGCGAGGUGGAGCCAAUCCCAGAAAGCCGAUCGUAGUCCGGAUCGCAGUCUGCAACUCGACUGCGUGAAGUCGGAAUCGCUAGUAAUCGCGGAUCAGCAUGUCGCGGUGAAUACGUUCCCGGGUCUUGUACACACCGCCCGUCACACCAUGGGAGUGGGUUCUACCAGAAGUAGUUAGCCUAACCGUAAGGAGGGCGAUUACCACGGUAGGAUUCAUGACUGGGGUGAAGUCGUAACAAGGUAACCGUAAGGGCGA
rnacentral:rRNA from 1 species